GAUGAACGCUCGCUACAGGCUUAACACAUGCAAGUCGCGGGGCAGCAUGGGGGUUGCUUGCAAUCCCCGAUGGCGACCGGCGCACGGGUGAGUAACGCGUAUCCAACCUGCCCUUCACCACGGGAUAACCCGGCGAAAGUCGGACUAAUACCGUAUGUUGUCCAUUGACGGCCUCCGAUUUGGACGAAAGGCUUGGCGGUGAGGGAUGGGGAUGCGUCCGAUUAGCCAGACGGCGGGGUAACGGCCCACCGUGGCUACGAUCGGUAGGGGUUCUGAGAGGAAGGUCCCCCACACUGGAACUGAGACACGGUCCAGACUCCUACGGGAGGCAGCAGUGAGGAAUAUUGGUCAAUGGGCGUAAGCCUGAACCAGCCAAGUAGCGUGCAGGAUGACGGCCCUAUGGGUUGUAAACUGCUUUUAUGCGGGGAUAAAGUGGCCCACGGGUGGGCUUUUGCAGGUACCGCAUGAAUAAGAACCGGCUAAUUCCGUG
rnacentral:rRNA from 1 species